CUUAAAGGAAUUGACGGGACCGCACAAGCGGUGGAUGAUGUGGUUUAAUUCGAUGCAACGCGAAAACCUUACCACCUUUGACAUGUACGGAAUCCUUUAGAGAUAGAGGAGUGCUCGAAAGAGAGCCGUAACACAGGUGCUGCAUGGCUGUCGUCAGCUCGUGUCGUGAGAUGUUGGGUUAAGUCCCGCAACGAGCGCAACCCUUGUCAUUAGUUGCUACAUUCAGUUGGGCACUCUAAUGAGACUGCCGGUGACAAACCGGAGGAAGGUGGGGAUGACGUCAAGUCCUCAUGGCCCUUAUAGGUGGGGCUACACACGUCAUACAAUGGAUGGUACAAAGGGUCGCCAACCCGCGAGGGGGAGCCAAUCCCAUAAAGCCAUUCGUAGUCCGGAUCGCAGUCUGCAACUCGACUGCGUGAAGUCGGAAUCGCUAGUAAUCGUGGAUCAGAAUGUCACGGUGAAUACGUUCCCGGGUCUU
rnacentral:rRNA from 1 species